AUCAACAAAAUCCUAAUUUGUUCCACGCAAAGGUGAAUUUUAAACAAUUAUUUCACUAAUAUUAUUAAGCUAUUUCAAUUUAAAUAUUUGAUACUUGGUUGUCAGAGUGCAGUGUUACAUAAAAAGUAACAGUUUUAAUUGUGUGUGCAGUUACUUGCGUUUCACUUUUUGCACGUCUUUGCUAGAUAGCUAGUAUGCUAGCUAACUAGCUCGCCCCUGUCCUGUGCAGUUAGUCUGCUCUACGUGGUGGUUCCAUGGGCGCGUGUCUCAUUUCAGCACCAAGCUUUUUUAGCCUCAUGCUAGUUUGUUCUCUUUAUUUCAGCUGCUUAUUAUAUAUUUAGGACUAAUCUGAUUCAAGCUUUCCUGAAAUUUGAGACCCCACUUACUAGUUUAUCAGAGGCAAAGCUGUACAAUGGGUCUGGAACUGAAGAUGAUGGAAUCUUCCCUGAUGAGUCAUGCCUCUGCCAGUUCUGUGAUGGGUGGUUCAGACCAUGAGUCGGAUGAUACAAUCAUUUUGAGCGAGGAUGGAAGCCCCUCACGAAAGCAUCAAAGAUCUGAUGACGAGGCAAAAAAUCUAAUAGAGAGCAAACUGAAGAAAAGGUCUGGUGGAGAGGUUGUCAUCAAGGAAAACGCCAAAACUAAACUGACUGCACCAAACGAAAGAUGAUCAACAUUCUUGUUUUGGAGAUGACAGACUCUUACGAAAGAUCCCUACACCGCAAAUGGAUAUGUAAGUAUACAUUACAACUGAUAAAGGGCAUCUGUGUUUAAUUAGUCUGGUAUGGUAUCUGAGCAAAUGGGACUUGGUUAUUUGUUUUUUCUUUCAAGAUUAGUAACCAUAUUCAUUUUCUUAAGGAACAUUAUUACGACCCUAAUAGUGGAGAAGUGUACCUCUCGUAUAGAAUCCAAACCAUUCAGAGGAAUUUGGCUUCAUCUGAGAAACGGCCCACUCAACUAUACUAUGGAGGGCCAACUGCUGAAAGGGAGUCCAGUUCAUCCAGUUUGGCUCCCCUGAGUGAAGACCGGUGCAGAGAGGCCAUUUCUCUUAUGAAAAAUUAUUCUAAUGAAGAAACAGUCAAACGGAAAAUGAAAUUGACCUUUGAGUACAGGAAGAAGAUGACCCACGACCUGAGUAAAUGCUCCACCAUCCUAACCAAAUUUCCACGCUUUCUGGAUGUGAAGGGCUUGAUUGAACAGGAUUUUGUGCUGCUGUUUUUUGAGGGAACAUCAGCCAAGUUUUUGGAGAGGUGGCCAACUACAAUCAAGCAUGAAUGCGGAUGGUUAGAUGAUCAUCAUUUGUCAUUUACACUACCGUUCAAAAGUUUGGAGUCACUUGGAAAUGUCCUUGUUUUUGAAAGAAAAGCACAUUUUUUGUCCAUUAAAAUAACAUCAAAU